rnacentral:misc_RNA from 1 species
UUUCCGUAGGUGAACCUGCGGAAGGAUCAUUAGUGAAUUGAAUAUGUUAGCGGACCUCUUCGGAGUCCCUAGCAUCAAAUCAUAUCCAUAACACCUGUGAACUGUAAGGCUGUCUUGAAAACGAAAGUGAUUAGAGCGCCGCCCAUUUUAUACAAACAUUAAAGUAACAAACGUAGUCUUAUUAUAAUCUAAUAAAACUUUCAACAACGGAUCUCUUGGCUCUC